CACAAAUCCGCACAAACGAAUGGCAUAGUUUUGGUGAUUAUUUAUUUUUAUGGGGUGCCAACUUCACGGAGGUUUGUUCUGGUUGCA